rnacentral:rRNA from 1 species
AGAGUUUGAUCCUGGCUCAGGAUGAACGCUGGCGGCGUGCCUAACACAUGCAAGUCGAACGGAGAUCAUAAGGAAUGCGACUUCGGUCAAAUGACUUUUGAACUUAGUGGCGGACGGGUGAGUAACGCGUGAGCAACCUGCCUUUCAGAGGGGGAUAACAUUUGGAAACAGAUGCUAAUACCGCAUAAGAUUACAGUACCGCAUGAUACAGUGAUCAAAGGAGCAAUCCGCUGAAAGAUGGGCUCGCGUCCGAUUAGAUAGUUGGUGAGGUAACGGCUCACCAAGUCGACGAUCGGUAGCCGGACUGAGAGGUUGAACGGCCACAUUGGGACUGAGACACGGCCCAGACUCCUACGGGAGGCAGCAGUGGGGAAUAUUGCACAAUGGGCGAAAGCCUGAUGCAGCAACGCCGCGUGAGGGAAGACGGUUUUCGGAUUGUAAACCUCUGUUUUCGGUGACGAACAAAUGACGGUAACCGAGUAGGAAGCCACGGCUAACUACGUGCCAGCAGCCGCGGUAAUACGUAGGUGGCAAGCGUUAUCCGGAAUUACUGGGUGUAAAGGGAGCGCAGGCGGGAUAGCAAGUCAGUUUGUGAAAACUAUGGGCUCAACCCAUAGAUUGCAGUUGAAACUGUUAUUCUUGAGUGGAGUAGAGGCAAGCGGAAUUCCGAGUGUACCGGUGAAAAUGCGUAGAUAUUCGGAGGAACACCAGUGGCGAAGGCGGCUUGCUGGGCUCUAACUGACGCUGAGGCUCGAAAGUGUGGGGAGCAAACAGAAUUAGAUACCCUGGUAGUCCACACUGUAAACGA